UGUGAGCUCGAUGAGUAGGGCGGGACACGUGGUAUCCUGUCUGAAUAUGGGGGGACCAUCCUCCAAGGCUAAAUACUCCUGACUGACCGAUAGUGAACCAGUACCGUGAGGGAAAGGCGAAAAGAACCCCGGCGAGGGGAGUGAAAAAGAACCUGAAACCGUGUACGUACAAGCAGUGGGAGCACGCUUCGGCGUGUGACUGCGUACCUUUUGUAUAAUGGGUCAGCGACUUAUAUUCUGUAGCAAGGUUAACCGAAUAGGGGAGCCGAAGGGAAACCGAGUCUUAACUGGGCGUUAAGUUGCAGGGUAUAGACCCGAAACCCGGUGAUCUAGCCAUGGGCAGGUUGAAGGUUGGGUAACACUAACUGGAGGACCGAACCGACUAAUGUUGAAAAAUUAGCGGAUGACUUGUGGCUGGGGGUGAAAGGCCAAUCAAACCGGGAGAUAGCUGGUUCUCCCCGAAAGCUAUUUAGGUAGCGCCUCGUGAAUUCAUCUCCGGGGGUAGAGCACUGUUUCGGCAAGGGGGUCAUCCCGACUUACCAACCCGAUGCAAACUGCGAAUACCGGAGAAUGUUAUCACGGGAGACACACGGCGGGUGCUAACGUCCGUCGUGAAGAGGGAAACAACCCAGACCGCCAGCUAAGGUCCCAAAGUCAUGGUUAAGUGGGAAACGAUGUGGGAAGGCCCAGACAGCCAGGAUGUUGGCUUAGAAGCAGCCAUCAUUUAAAGAAAGCGUAAUAGCUCACUGGUCGAGUCGGCCUGCGCGGAAGAUGUAACGGGGCUAAACCAUGCACCGAAGCUGCGGCAGCGACGCUUAUGCGUUGUUGGGUAGGGGAGCGUUCUGUAAGCCUGCGAAGGUGUGCUGUGAGGCAUGCUGGAGGUAUCAGAAGUGCGAAUGCUGACAUAAGUAACGAUAAAGCGGGUGAAAAGCCCGCUCGCCGGAAGACCAAGGGUUCCUGUCCAACGUUAAUCGGGGCAGGGUGAGUCGACCCCUAAGGCGAGGCCGAAAGGCGUAGUCGAUGGGAAACAGGUUAAUAUUCCUGUACUUGGUGUUACUGCGAAGGGGGGACGGAGAAGGCUAUGUUGGCCGGGCGACGGUUGUCCCGGUUUAAGCGUGUAGGCUGGUUUUCCAGGCAAAUCCGGAAAAUCAAGGCUGAGGCGUGAUGACGAGGCACUACGGUGCUGAAGCAACAAAUGCCCUGCUUCCAGGAAAAGCCUCUAAGCAUCAGGUAACAUCAAAUCGUACCCCAAACCGACACAGGUGGUCAGGUAGAGAAUACCAAGGCGCUUGAGAGAACUCGGGUGAAGGAACUAGGCAAAAUGGUGCCGUAACUUCGGGAGAAGGCACGCUGAUAUGUAGGUGAAGUCCCUUGCGGAUGGAGCUGAAAUCAGUCGAAGAUACCAGCUGGCUGCAACUGUUUAUUAAAAACACAGCACUGUGCAAACACGAAAGUGGACGUAUACGGUGUGACGCCUGCCCGGUGCCGGAAGGUUAAUUGAUGGGGUUAGCGCAAGCGAAGCUCUUGAUCGAAGCCCCGGUAAACGGCGGCCGUAACUAUAACGGUCCUAAGGUAGCGAAAUUCCUUGUCGGGUAAGUUCCGACCUGCACGAAUGGCGUAAUGAUGGCCAGGCUGUCUCCACCCGAGACUCAGUGAAAUUGAACUCGCUGUGAAGAUGCAGUGUACCCGCGGCAAGACGGAAAGACCCCGUGAACCUUUACUAUAGCUUGACACUGAACAUUGAGCCUUGAUGUGUAGGAUAGGUGGGAGGCUUUGAAGUGUGGACGCCAGUCUGCAUGGAGCCGACCUUGAAAUACCACCCUUUAAUGUUUGAUGUUCUAACGUUGACCCGUAAUCCGGGUUGCGGACAGUGUCUGGUGGGUAGUUUGACUGGGGCGGUCUCCUCCUAAAGAGUAACGGAGGAGCACGAAGGUUGGCUAAUCCUGGUCGGACAUCAGGAGGUUAGUGCAAUGGCAUAAGCCAGCUUGACUGCGAGCGUGACGGCGCGAGCAGGUGCGAAAGCAGGUCAUAGUGAUCCGGUGGUUCUGAAUGGAAGGGCCAUCGCUCAACGGAUAAAAGGUACUCCGGGGAUAACAGGCUGAUACCGCCCAAGAGUUCAUAUCGACGGCGGUGUUUGGCACCUCGAUGUCGGCUCAUCACAUCCUGGGGCUGAAGUAGGUCCCAAGGGUAUGGCUGUUCGCCAUUUAAAGUGGUACGCGAGCUGGGUUUAGAACGUCGUGAGACAGUUCGGUCCCUAUCUGCCGUGGGCGCUGGAGAACUGAGGGGGGCUGCUCCUAGUACGAGAGGACCGGAGUGGACGCAUCACUGGUGUUCGGGUUGUCAUGCCAAUGGCACUGCCCGGUAGCUAAAUGCGGAAGAGAUAAGUGCUGAAAGCAUCUAAGCACGAAACUUGCCCCGAGAUGAGUUCUCCCUGACCCUUUAAGGGUCCUGAAGGAACGUUGAAGACGACGACGUUGAUAGGCCGGGUGUGUAAGCGCAGCGAUGCGUUGAGCUAACCGGUACUAAUGAACCGUGAGGCUUAACCUU
rnacentral:rRNA from 1 species